GCUUAACACAUGCAAGUCGAGGGGCAUCAGGACAUAAGCGUGCUUUCUUUGCUGGCGACCGGCGCACGGGUGAGUAACACGUAUCCAACCUGCCCUUUACUCGGGGAUAGUCUUUCGAAAGAAAGAUUAAUACCCGAUAGUAUAAUGAUUCCGCAUGGUUUCAUUAUUAAAGGAUUCCGGUAAAGGAUGGGGAUGCGUUCCAUUAGGUUGUUGGUGAGGUAACGGCUCACCAAGCCUUCGAUGGAUAGGGGUUCUGAGAGGAAGGUCCCCCACAUUGGAACUGAGACACGGUCCAAACUCCUACGGGAGGCAGCAGUGAGGAAUAUUGGUCAAUGGGCGCUAGCCUGAACCAGCCAAGUAGCGUGAAGGAUGAAGGCUCUAUGGGUCGUAAACUUCUUUUAUAUAAGAAUAAAGUGCAGUAUGUAUACUGUUUUGUAUGUAUUAUAUGAAUAAGGAUCGGCUAACUCCGUGCCAGCAGCCGCGGUAAUACGGAGGAUCCGAGCGUUAUCCGGAUUUAUUGGGUUUAAAGGGAGCGUAGGUGGACUGGUAAGUCAGUUGUGAAAGUUUGCGGCUCAACCGUAAAAUUGCAGUUGAUACUGUCAGUCUUGAGUACAGUAGAGGUGGGCGGAAUUCGUGGUGUAGCGGUGAAAUGCUUAGAUAUCACGAAGAACUCCGAUUGCGAAGGCAGCUCACUGGACUGCAACUGACACUGAUGCUCGAAAGUGUGGGUAUCAAACAGGAUUAGAUACCCUGGUAGUCCACACAGUAAACGAUGAAUACUCGCUGUUUGCGAUAUACAGUAAGCGGCCAAGCGAAAGCAUUAAGUAUUCCACCUGGGGAGUACGCCGGCAACGGUGAAACUCAAAGGAAUUGACGGGGGCCCGCACAAGCGGAGGAACAUGUGGUUUAAUUCGAUGAUACGCGAGGAACCCUACCCGGGCUUAAAUUGCAGUGGGAUGAUGUGGAAACAUGUCAGUGAGCAAUCACCGCUGUGAAGGUGCUGCAUGGUUGUCGUCAGCUCGUGCCGUGAGGUGUCGGCUUAAGUGCCAUAACGAGCGCAACCCUUAUCUUCAGUUACUAACAGGUCAUGCUGAGGACUCUGGAGAGACUGCCGUCGUAAGAUGUGAGGAAGGUGGGGAUGACGUCAAAUCAGCACGGCCCUUACGUCCGGGGCUACACACGUGUUACAAUGGGGGGUACAGAAGGCAGCUAGCGGGUGACCGUAUGCUAAUCCCAAAAGCCUCUCUCAGUUCGGAUCGAAGUCUGCAACCCGACUUCGUGAAGCUGGAUUCGCUAGUAAUCGCGCAUCAGCCACGGCGCGGUGAAUACGUUCCCGGGCCUUGUACACACCGCCCGUCAAGCCAUGGGAGCCGGGGGUACCUGAAGUACGUAACCGCAAGGAUCGUCCUAGGGUAAAACUGGUGACUGG
rnacentral:rRNA from 1 species